CGUGCGCGCCGCCGGCCGCUCCCGCCUGUUCUUCUCCCAGCUGCGCCAGAGGGGGCGCGGUCUAGAGCUCCCUGCCAACAUCCCGCUGCCGCCUUCUGCAGCCAGGAGUUGCUUGUGCUCUCGCGAGAUGAGCUGUAAUCUCGGCAAAGCUCGGGAAGGAGGCCUGGCUGGAGCCUUCAGAACGCCUACUCGCCUUCCUUCUUUCUCCCCUGCGCGGAACAUCGAAGUUCUGCUCCCAGGCCUGCGCGGGUUCGCCAACCUCCGCUGCGGGCGGUCUCGGGGGGCCAGUUAGACCAUCUACCUGCAUCUGUACGGAGAGGCCCUUGGAAAAGGCAGAGGGGCCGGUAAUGAGCCGGGCUCCCUUUGCCUUGCCUUAAGUGGAUGUAUACGGUGUAAUUCAUCAUGACAUUGUAAGCGUAGGUGGCCAUUAAUAAUUGCAUAAUAAUAACUGUGUAAUGGGAGUCCCUGGCACCACUCAAAUGCAGCAUUUGUGCCCAUUUUCACAAGUCGGUGAUGUCCAAGUGAAACUUUCCUCUCAUCAUUCCUGCCAAGAGUUAGUCAUCAUGUCACUGACUCCACGACGAAACUUGGGAAAAUAAAUUGUCCCCCUACAAGUGGACAGAGUGGGGUUCCAGCUGGCCAGGGACAUAGGGACUUCAAGUGAACAUUUGUUUGGGCGAGGUAUACAAAAGAGAUUAUGCUAAGAACUGUUACUUGGAACAUGGUUAAUCUUCACUAGUGAUCAAAUGCAAAUUUAAAUGAUGAUGCGAUACCAUUUAGUUGUUGAGUUUAAAUAUAAAUUCGUAUAUAUAUGAAGCCCUGUUGCAUGGUGUGAUGAGUGCCACGAAGAAAUCCAUUAGGAAAGAAAUAACAAGAAGAGACCUACUGUAGUUUCUGUGGUUCCGAAAGGCCUAAGGUGAAAUUUAAACUGAAACCUACUUAAUGAGAAGCUGGCCUUGCCAAUCGUUAUUUGAGCACAAGGAUUGGGGAGCAUUCCAGCAGAGGCAACAGGACACCGCCUGUGUUGCAGGAAGCAGUUCCUGGUGACUUGAAGAGUGCCUCCAGGCAAGCGUCCACCAUGGGGCUGAGGAAGUGGCCCCAGUGUCAGGGCAGUUCAAAGGUCACAGGUUGAUUCCAGUAUAAGAUUAGAAGGUGGAAGCAUGAGAAAGGAGUUGAGGAUGGAAUGUGAUCCUAAGAACUUGGCCACGAGGCAAAAAGGACUCCAGUUGUCAGCUUCCACAUGUGCUCGCAAUCGGCAAAAGGCUGAGUAAGGCAGGAAUUUUAAGAUCACAGUGUGAAGACAGAGGAACAAGAGAACAAUGCCUGAUGACAGUAGAUUGGAUUUUUGCAUCUAGGAGUCAAGGACUGCCAAAGAUGGCCAGCAAACUGCCAGAAGCAAGGAAGAGCCAAGGAAGGAUUCCCCUGCAGGAUUCCGAGGGGGCAGAGCCCUGAUGACAUCCGAUGUUGGGCUCAUCCCUCCAGUCCCAUCAGACAAUACAUUUCUAUUAUUGUAAGUCACCCAGUUGGUGGUACUUUGUCACAGUAGCCCUAAGAAACUGUUACAGUGACCUUCAUUCUUUUUUUCUUUUUAGGGCCAAACCCACAGCCUAUGGAAG